AAAUACCUUUUGCAGAGUCAGAACGAGGAGGAGGUACAUUGAGGCUGAGAGUAGCAGGUCUGGCCGGUGGAGCCCAAAGUGUGGGAUCCACGGCUGACAGCGCACGCGCCAGAUUUGCUGGGGUUACUUCCAGACCCUGGAUCUGAUGGCGUCGCUUGUCGUCGUGACUGAGGGGGUGGGGGUGCUGCACCGGAGGAGCGGGGGGUGGCGAGUCUCUGAAUGAGACCAACGACCCACACGAUCCGACGUCCACUAGGUGUACUGAAAUAUUUGUUCACAAUGUGUUAGUGUCUAGCUGUAUGAUACAGAGUUCGAAAACCGCUA